rnacentral:SRP_RNA from 1 species
AGUCAGGGCUCAUGCGAAAGGCCGCCGCCCAACCCCGCCAGGUCCGGAAGGAAGCAACGGUAAGCGAUUGGUUUUUGCGCCGUGAUCACUCUGACUGCG